rnacentral:tRNA from 1 species
AGGGCAGUAGCUCAGUCGUAGUGCUCCUACUCCAUACGCGGGAAGACCCGGGUUCGAUUCCCGGCUGCUUUC